UUCUUUUCAGAUGCUGUUGCUUUUUGGAUGGUAGUCCGAAAAAAAAUUUCCCCAUUUUUCUGGUAGACGCCCCGAGAAGAUGAAAGAUUGUUCAGCUCUACUAGGGCAACUUCAUGGCGUCUUUAUGAGAUCGAAUUUGGGGUCUGACGCAGGGGAGGAGGAAGCAGACAUCGCCAUAGAAUACACUAUGUCACUCUCUACUCGAGUCUCUGC
rnacentral:misc_RNA from 1 species